CUGCUCCCCCCAGCUGAGGCCCGGGCGGCGGCGGCCCCGCAGCGCUCGCCCCGGUGGCGGGGGGGCCGCGCCGGGGAGUUGGUGAUUAACCUGCGGGCCAUUGAAUACCCGCCUAAAGUCGCGCCCAGGGUGGGGUUUAACCUUGUCCGAGGCUCGGUGCCUCCCGUGUGACUCUCUGCCCGAGAGCCUGGGGCGGCCAGUUCUGCUGCCGCCGAAGCGCUGCGGGGAUGCGCAGCUCCCUGUUGAAAAUCUCUGCUCUAAAUCUCAGCCUAGAGCCCGCCUCGCAGUCGUUUUUGGAAGUUUCAGGCUCAAGAGGUCGAGGUGAUGUGGGGGUCUCCGCAAGCGUCUCUGCAGCUGCGGGCUGCAGGAGCUCGAGUUUGUGGCUGGCGCUUGAAUCCAUGCUGGCCCCUUUUCCUCGGGCUGAGCUGCAAGGAGCUCAGCAGCUGCGGCAUUUAGUUCAAUUACUUCAGAUGAUCUGUAAAUUUUCAAUAAUGGCAAUACAUUCAUUCUGCCAUUUGGAGGAGCCUGUGCCACAGAAUAAUGAUCUGAAGAAAGCUCACUCAUUUGCAAGGAAGAGUCUUCAUUUGGGAAUUAGCACUGAUGCAGCACAAGGGUGCUUUUUCAAGUACAGACUUUUUCAGCAGAAGUGUUGUUUUCCUAACACAACCUCUGGUACAAGGAUAAAAUUGGGUUUUUGUCAAAGAACAGAGUCCUGUAUCUGAAGAGUAAGAAGGUAAGGUAUUGAGAUUAUAUCAUUUCAGUAAGCAGUUAACAAUAAUUUUGGUUAUUUGUU
rnacentral:lncRNA from 1 species